AAUUACAUCCUGAAUGUGUAAUUACCAUUAGAUUUUUACCUUACAUAUUUACUUAGAAGAUCCAGCCUUGCCAGUUGCCACCGAUCUCCCGACACCAAGUUGUCACAUCAAUAUUCUCUACCCCACUUUUGAUUUUUUCUAAUAAAAAAAAAGUAGUAUUGUAAUUGAUAUGCAGUAACCCAAACCGGAAAACAUAGCUGGUAAGCUUUACCAAUUUUGGUUUAUUCCUCAUGCAAGCCAAUGUUACAUGAAGUUAAUAGGGCACAAAAAAGAGAAAACAAAAGUACCUAAUGAGCUGGUCUUACUUUGUUCACGUGAUUACUGAAACACAACAUGUGAUGUGGAUCAUCCAAUGGCAAUUAACGAACAAACAAGGGCUACUUGAUAUGUUACACAACAUUUGAUGAUAUAAUCUCAACUUAUAUACACAGAUAACACAACAUUUGUUUCACAUAUUAGUGUAGCUAUACCUGCUGUAAUAGGUCAUUUAUCAUGUCUUGUAAGUUAUAAAUCCACACGUAAUUGUAAUUGGUUAUAUAUGUAACUUUUCGACCUUGUGGUUGAUCAGGAUUAUUGCCUAACGGAAACUUCGAGCAAGGUCCAAAAGCAUCACAAAUGAAGGGGACAAAAGUGACAGACCCACACGCAAUACCUCACUGGGAAAUAUCAGGCUAUGUAGAAUACAUUAAAGCUGGACAAACACAAGGUGACAUGUUGCUUCCAGUGCCAGAAGGAGCUUUUGCUGUUAGGCUUGGGGAAGACGCCUACAUCAAGACCAGAGUCACGAAUGUCACUAAUGGGACUUUCUACUCUCUGUCUUUCAACUUUGCUAGGACUUGUGCUCAAGAAGAGAAACUCAAUGUGUCGGUGUCGCCUAAUAAUGAGCCUAACGACUGGGCAAUGCUUCCUAUGCAGACUAUGUAUAGUAGUGAUGGUUGGGACUCAUAUUCAUGGGGUUUCUUGGCCCAAGCCAAUGAGAUUGAAAUCAUGUUACACAAUCCAGCAGUUGAGAAGGACCCAGCUUGUGGCCCACUCAUUGAUUUCAUCGCUCUCAAGGCUCUGAAAACCCCCCAUAGACCAAAAGGUAAUUUUCCCUCAUCUCUCUUGUCCAUGUGCAUUUAAGUUGGGAGGCCACGUAUAACUUUUAUUCUAAGGGGUCGUUUGGUUGGGAACAAGUUAUCUUGAAGUUAGCUUAUCCCACCAUGUAUAUGGGAUAUCUUAUCCCAUCGCUAUGAUAUAAAUGGUGGGAUAAAUUAUCCCAAACAUGGCAACCAAACAAGAUACAAAAUUUUUAUCCCAUCACUAUUUAUUUUUAUCCCUCACACCAAGUGACCCCUAAGUGUGUUUAAAAGUAGUACUUCAAAUGCUAAUACAUAAAAUGAAAGCAGGCAACAUGUUGAAGAAUGGAAACUUUGAAGAGGGUCCAUAUAUCUUCCCCAACACAAGCUGGGGUGUUCUAAUUCCUCCAAACAUUGAGGAUGAUCACUCACCUUUGCCUGGAUGGAUGAUCGAAUCUCUCAAGGCAGUAAAAUACAUUGAUGCUGAACACUUCACCGUGCCAGAGGGUAAGCGCGCCAUCGAGCUUGUGGCAGGAAGAGAAAGCGCAAUAGCACAAAUAGUGAGGACUCAGAAGGGAAAAGUGUAUGACCUUAUGUUCUCAGUUGGAGAUGCGAGCAAUUCCUGCCAAGGGUCUAUGCUUAUAGAGGCAUUUGCUGGAAAUAUCACUUUGCGAGUCCCCUAUGAAUCUGCAGGUAAAGGAGGAUUCAAACGGGCCAAGCUUCGGUUCACCGCAGUAACUGAGCGCACCAGAGUCAGGUUCUUGAGCACAUACUACCACAUGAAGAGUGAUCACUCUGGCUCCUUGUGUGGUCCUGUGGUUGAUGAUGUGAGAUUAGUCGGAGUUCGCUAUCCAUAAAUUCCAUAGAUCAAUUAAUUACUAGUAAUAUAGAAGCUAUGAUGGUUAUUACUUUAUUUGCUUCGCCUUUUCUUUCUUCUUACAGCAUUGCUUAUGCGAGGGAAUCAGUUACUAUUCCAUGUAAUGUUACUAUAGCAGACAUGUUCCUUUCUCCAUAUAGCAAAAGAAAUUAGAAGGUUUAAAUCAUUUAGUCUUCGUUGUCAUAUCUUACAUGUACCUACAAAAUUUCAAGAAAUCAAAUAAAAUUACCUCCAUCAAUCUGCUCUCGCUGUCAAUAUUAAAUUAGAUCAAUAAAAAUUCUAUCUUCCUUAUUUUUUAAUAUAUAGGUAAUCCAAACUGGCAAACUCUAUCUUAGACUCCAAAGAAGAGAUGACUCUAAACAAAUCAUUGCCACAUACUAAACAAAGUACGGUUAAAAUAUCAAGCAAGUGGCACACACAUUUUUCCUUACUCUUUAUCCAUUCUAAAUUGCUAUUCCAGUCUGCUAUAUCUUAUCGGAUAAUGCAAGUUAACUCCAAUUUAUUGUCAUCUAAAACUGAAACUCACUUGAUUUGGUCCAAAAUUCACUAAGAGAAGAAAUUUAAUUACUUAUUUCUAUAGAUUACCUAAGUCAUAAGACAUCCAUUAUCAAAGCCGGCAGCUGCUUCAUUAGCAGAAGGCUGUGGAACUCGAUCACUCAGUUUUCUGGGUUGAGUGAACAUCUAACCUUCAUCAUUAGCCUCAUCCUCAAUUUCUGCCACCAUGGCCUUAGUUUCUUCUUCAAUUCCCUAAUGUAUAUGCCAUUUCAACAAGAUCACAACAGAAAUUAGCGACUUUAAGUGGCAAUAUCCACACUCUUGGUGACCUUGAUGAAUCCUAUCCAGUAUAAGCAAUGUUUGCAAAGUUACAGAGCCCAAGGACUUCAGCACCUAUAAGGCUAUAACUGCAAAUGCUCUGAAAGUCUUUAAUCCCGGUAGAUCCAAGCAAGGAUGUAGGUUCAUGCUCUGUAACAAAUCAUAGAACAAUCUAGUUGGGCCAUGCAUAUUUCUAUAGCAAUAUAAUUUGCAAAGCAGCUAUGCCAAUGUAAAGGACAACAACACCACUACCUAAGUAGAAGCCAGAACUAUCCCGCUGCUUUAAAUGAUGAAUGGAGUGUACACUCUCUAUAUAUUAGCAAAACAAUAGCACUUGCUCUUCUUAACAAGCUACUCCUGCUUCGAAUAUAAAGGGAUUACUAAAAUUUUGGAAUAUGGAAAAAAAAAAAAAGGAAAAGAUAUAUCUCAUUCAAAUUUCAAACUGAACUUCCGAUAUAUGUGUCACAGUACUAAUCCAAGGAAGGAGGAUACUCAAAAAAAUCAAACAAGGAUUCCCACCAUUUCACUCAUAGCAAGGGUUCCGAAAUCUUUUUAUUAAUCUAAUUAUAAUGGAUUGUUAAAAAACUUUGUAGGCACAAGGCCAAAAAAAAUUCAAGAAUAUUUUACCGUGUUCGAAAGCUGAAGUCGUCUCUCCAGCAUGUUGCUUCGGCAACUACAGAGUUGAUCCAUCCAAAUCCUGAACUGAAAAAUUAAAGAGAAUCAAAUUUUGGCAAAAGUGAAACCUGGACUCUCAAUCAGAUUCGGGUCAAUUUUAAUAACCCGACAACUCCUUAAACAUGGACCGAAUUGCUACACUGGGG
rnacentral:lncRNA from 1 species